rnacentral:rRNA from 1 species
UACGAGAGGCCCAAACGUUAUUCGGAAUUACUGGGCUUAAAGAGUCCGUAGGCGGCGCAGAAAGUAGGGUGUGAAAGCCCUGGGCUCAACCUAGGAAGUGCAUUCGAAACUGCAGAGCUGGAGUCCUGGAGAGGAAGGCGGAAUUCUCGGUGUAGAGGUGAAAUUCGUAGAUAUCGAGAGGAACACCGGUGGCGAAGGCGGCCUUCUGGACAGUGACUGACGCUGAGACGCGAAAGCGUGGGGAGCAAACAGG